UACGGAGGAUCCGAGCGUUAUCCGGAUUUAUUGGGUUUAAAGGGUGCGCAGGCGGGAGAUUAAGUCGGCGGUGAAAUUUUGCAGCUCAACUGUAAAAGUGCCUUCGAAACUGGUUUCCUUGAGUGUAGAUGAAGUAGGCGGAAUUUGUGGUGUAGCGGUGAAAUGCAUAGAUAUCACGAGGAACUCCGAUUGCGAAGGCAGCUUACUAAGCUACUACUGACGCUCAGGCACGAAGGCGUGGGGAUCAAACAGGAUUAGAUACCCGGGUAGUCCCUGA
rnacentral:rRNA from 1 species